GUACAAAUACUGCUUGAUAUUUGUACUCGUCUAUGGCGUUAUUUGUACUCAUCUAGGUGUAGUUGGAUAAUAAAGUGACUUAUUGACACUCAGCUACAAAUGAUAAAAUGGUAACAAUAAUGAUAAUGCCUGAACACAAUAUUAUAGCAGUAUUAGUAUAACAUUAUUAUAUGUAUGUAGUUCUAGUACUUAUUGAAUUUUAUCUUAUUUUAAUAGUUGUAUUAAUUAUUAAAGUAACUGUGUUAUUUUAUUGUGAAGCGCAUAUGAACAUUGUAUGGAAUUUGCACUAUACAAAUUAUUAUUAUUAUUAUACAGUGCUUUCAGUAAGAUUUUAAAUAGGUGGCUACCUUGGUUCAACACCUGCCAGAGAGCAACUUGAUUGCGACUUAGCGUGGUGACUGCAACUCCGGCGAGCGCUGUGAAAUUACCCGGCAACUCACAACAGAAUACCCGCUGGAGCUCUGGCAGUAGUAAUCCGAAACAAACAUUCAGUGGCAUUGGGAAGAAGUGUAAUCAUGAGCUACUUCCAAGCAAAAUUCAAAGCGAUCCAAAGAAUUCAUCACCAAGCAUUGAACAACCGAAGAUCUUUCAGAACAAACAAAGCCAAGAGUGAGGAAUAUCAGGGACACACCAAGGGCUAGAAAGGUCGAGCAGUGAUUACUGGACCUCUUGAAAAAAACAGAUUCUGAUGAGGCGUGGAUAGAUUAUCUUGAGCCACUCACAGAGGGCAUCGCUCAAACAAAGAACAAGUUGAGCCAUCAGUCAGUAAAAUGUUGUGUGUGGUGGGAGGUAGCCGGUCUGAGUUUGCAGCACAACCAAGAGUUAUUUAGGGACGAGAAUCACAGAGUAGAAAAUGAUGGGAGAAGUUUUAGGAUUUUUUUUCACGAGAUGUAAACUAAAGAAGAUGAAAGAAGAACUGCUUCGUCUUGGAGCUUUUCUGGGGCCAGGAAACGCAUCUUUUCAAACAAAUACCUUCUGGAUAUCGUCCAUUAUGUCAAGGUGGAAGAGUUUUCUUCGAGGUUGCUGAAGCGAGGAGUUUUAAUCCGACGACAAACAAGGAUGGACUGAUGUUAUUGUGUGAGGACGUUUUUGAAGGAAAACUUCAGGCUUAGGACGGGGUUAUCACUAAAUCAAGGAAUUCAAGGGAGGAAUAGAAAACACGACAACUUUCAAAAAACUUUGAGUGAUGCUCGAAUCAAACAUGGACGGCUGAGAUCCAAAGACAAGACAAGGUAGAAAACAGAUGUAACCCAUUUCUCUCAAGAACACGACGAAUCAGAGCCAAGAGACAUUUAAUAAAAUCGACGACUUGAAGCCAAACGUAAGCAAGCGUUAUUUCGCGAUUUCGUUGGACUUUGAAUUUUUUCUUCGUCGGCCUAAUAUUCAUGGUAUGGGCUGUUUAAAAGUGUUAAGUUUUCCCGCCAAAAAACUUCGAAAAAUACGGGCGCUCGAAAUACGAAUGCACCAUUAUUUAGUCUGUAAGUAACAUCUGUUAAAAUCUGGUGAAUUUUCCCGCCAAAAUACGGCGCCCAAAAUACGCAUGCGCCAAUUUUUUGAAAAAGUAUAUAAAUGCUGUAUUUUGAAUAUAUGAUUUACAUUGCUAAUAAAUUUCAUUUUUAUUUCCAUGUUGUCUUGUUAUUUAUCUACUAAGUAAUAGUCUUCAAAGUGAUCAGUUUUGUUGUUUCACUGAAUAAGCCACAAACGUUUCAUAUCAACUUGGCAUUUAUUUGUUUUGAAUUACAAGUCAAUAUGCUUAAGUAAUUUUUCAGUAAAAUUAUUAUAAACGGUGUUUUGAAUCGUAUAUAUAUACACUAAGACUUUUGGCGGGAAAAUUUGGACAAUCUGCACAGAGUUGCCCC
rnacentral:lncRNA from 1 species